rnacentral:rRNA from 1 species
ACUCAAAGGAAUUGACGGGGGCCCGCACAAGCGGCGGAGCAUGCGGAUUAAUUCGAUGCAACGCGAAGAACCUUACCAAGGCUUGACAUGAACCGGUAAUACCUGGAAACAGGUGCCCCGCUUGCGGUCGGUUUAUAGGUGGUGCAUGGUUGUCGUCAGCUCGUGUCGUGAGAUGUUGGGUUAAGUCCCGCAACGAGCGCAACCCUCGUUCUAUGUUGCCAGCGCGUUAUGGCGGGGACUCAUAGGAGACUGCCGGGGUCAACUCGGAGGAAGGUGGGGACGACGUCAAAUCAUCAUGCCCCUUAUGUCUUGGGCUUCACGCAUGCUACAAUGGCCGGUACAAAGGGUUGCGAUACUGUGAGGUGGAGCUAAUCCCAAAAAGCCGGUCUCAGUUCGGAUUGGGGUCUGCAACUCGACCCCAUGAAGUCGGAGUCGCUAGUAAUCGCAGAUCAGCAACGCUGCGGUGAAUACGUUCCCGGGCCUUGUACACACCGCCCGUCAAGUCACGAAAGUUGGUAACACCCGAAGCCGGUGGCCUAACCCUUGUGGGGGGAGCCGUCGAAGGUGGGACCGGCGAUUGGGACUAAGUCGUAACAAGGUAGCCGUACCGGAAGGUGCGGCUGGAUCNCCUCCU